rnacentral:rRNA from 1 species
UGUACCUACGGGGCGCAGCAGUGGGGAAUAUUGGGCAAUGGGCGCAAGCCUGACCCAGCAAUGCCGCGUGAAGGAAGAAGGCCUUCGGGUUGUAAAGAUCUUUAAUCGGGGACGAAUUUUGACGGUACCCGAAGAAUAAGCUCCGGCUAACUACGUGCCAGCAGCCGCGGUAAUACGUAGGGAGCAAGCGUUAUCCGGAUUUACUGGGUGUAAAGGGCGUGUAGGCGGGCAUGCAAGCCAGAAGUGAAAUCUGGGGGCUUAACCCCCAAACUGCUUUUGGAACUGC